CCUACGGGUGGCAGCAGUGAGGAAUAUUGGUCAAUGGGCGGAAGCCUGACCCAGCCAAGUAGCGUGCAGGAUGACGGCCCUACGGGUUGUAAACUGCUUUUAUACGGGAAUAACGCGCCUUACGUGUAGGGCUUUGCAUGUACCGUAUGAAUAAGGACCGGCUAAUUCCGUUCCAGCAGCCGCGGUAAUACGGAAGGUUCGCGCGUUAUCCGGAUUUAUUGGGUUGAAAGGGAGGGUAGGCGGCAUGUCAAGCGUGCUGUGAAAUGUCCGGGCUCAACCCGGGCCUUGCAGCGCGAACUGGCGUGCUUGAGUCCGCGGAAGGCAGGUGGAAUUCGUCGUGUAGCGGUGGAAUGCUUAGAUAUGACGAAGAACCCCGAUUGCGAAGGCAGCUUGCUGCAGCGGAACUGACGCUGAUGCUCGAAAGCGCGGGUAUCGAACAGGAUUAGAUACCCCAGUAGUC
rnacentral:rRNA from 1 species